rnacentral:rRNA from 1 species
GACGAACGCUGGCGGCGUGCUUAACACAUGCAAGUCGAACGGAAAGGCCCUGCUUGCCGGGUGCUCGAGUGGCGAACGGGUGAGUAACACGUGGGUGAUCUGCCCCUUACUUUGGGAUAAGCCUGGGAAACUGGGUCUAAUACUGGAUAGGACCAUGCUGUAGGUGGUGUGGUGGAAAGAUUAGUUUCGGUAAGGGAUGAGCUCGCGGCCUAUCAGCUUGUUGGUGGGGUAAUGGCCUACCAAGGCGUCGACGGGUAGCCGGCCUGAGAGGGUGGACGGCGGCAUUGGGACUGAGGUACGGCCCAGACGCCUACGGGGGGCAGCAGUGGGGAAUAUUGCACAAUGGGCGGAAGCCGGAUGCAGCGACGCCGCGUGGGGGGUGACGGCCUUCGGGUUGUAAACUCCUUUCAGCCAUGACGAAGCCCUUGUGGUGACGGUAGUGGUAGAAGAAGCACCGGCUAACUACGUG